rnacentral:sRNA from 1 species
CGCGGGCGAACCGGCGCCCAGCCAGCACUCAGGCAGCGGCCUCCAGUUGGGGGUGGGAGGGGGACGCGGUGUGUCCCCCACCCCCUUCCCUACAUCACCCCCUUCUGUGUCAACUUUCUGGGUGAGGAAUAAGUAAAAAUGGUAUCUAAUUAUGAGAGUCCUUAAGUUUGAAUUAACCAUGUGGAAGUAAGAAAAGUGGAAAACCACCAUUACAGAACAAUGAGAAAGAGGGGAAAAAGGAGCGAGCUGUGGUGGACAAGGUGUUUUUCUCAAGGCUCAUACAGAUUCUGAAAAUCAUGGUCCCUAGAACAUUUUGUAAAGAGACAGGUUACUUGGUACUUAUUGCUGUUAUGCUGGUGUCUCGAACAUAUUGUGAUGUUUGGAUGAUUCAAAAUGGGACACUAAUUGAAAGUGGUAUCAUUGGUCGUAGCAGGAAAGAUUUCAAGAGAUACUUACUCAACUUCAUCGCUGCCAUGCCUCUUAUCUCUCUGGUUAAUAACUUCUUGAAGUAUGGGUUAAAUGAGCUUAAACUGUGCUUCCGAGUAAGGCUCACUAAAUACCUCUAUGAGGAGUAUCUUCAAGCUUUCACAUAUUAUAAAAUGGGAAAUCUGGACAACAGAAUAGCUAAUCCAGACCAGCUGCUUACACAAGAUGUAGAAAA